CCGCAGCGAGUCCAGCAGCCGAGCAGCUGCGGCCCCGGAGCCUCGGGCGCGGCGGGCGGGGGGCGCGGGGCGCCGAUUGGAGCCCGCGCGUCAGCUGGGGCCGCCGUCUGGACGCUUAAAGGGCCAGGCCGCCCAACGUGCCGGCGGGGGGCGCGGACACGUGUGGUGUGCGGCGUCCCGGAGCCGCCAGCUCUGCCUCGGGCCGCCGGGGCCCUCAGCCAGGCUCCGCUGCUCCCAUCCAAGCGGAUGGGCCCCGGCCUCACUCUCCUGCACCGAGCCCCUUUCUGCCGCCGGAAAGUUCGUCCCAGAGUCUAACCUCGGUGCCCUCCAGCUGCGCGACAGAGGCGGGGUCGGAGAAGGAGGCGGCCCUGCGAUGGAGAAGCUGGGUGCACCCGCGCUCCAACCAGCUUCAAGAAAGGCUUCUCUACCUGCUCCCCUGAGUGACCCCACAUUGAGGAACCUGACGGCACCCUAGAUGCUCUCACCACCCCCACCCUCUGGCCUGGGCUGCUCUGACCUUAGGGACUUAGUCCUGGUAGACCCAUACCUACCUGGUGGCCUUUCUGGCUGCACAGGUCCGCCCAGGGCAGAAGACACAAGAACCCAGACCACAGCUGCAAUGAUCAAGUCUGCGACCAAAAGCAGGAGAAGAGGAGCAGGGGCCAGAGGCCCAGGCCUCACUGCGCCCCCAGCCGUGUGACCUGACGGCUGCUCCGGAGCCUCCCCACUCAGUCUCUGCUGGGAAGAUGCAGCCAGGCCUGCGGAAUGCUGCUCUGGCAUGGACACCAGUGGGGGCAGGGGGCUGGCUGUGCUGGCAGGAGGCUACAAAGGAACACUGCCAGGCUGAGCAGGCAGCAGAGUGGGGGACCACAGUGUGCUGGGCCUGGCAGGACCCAGGUGGUGGCUGGGCCACCUCUAUGGAUAGGGGGCCUCUGUGGGUCUCAUGUGGCCGUGUCAUCCUUAACCCCACCCCCACCCCACCCACCCCAAACUGACUGCUACCGCAUAUUGGGUCACUCUCCCAUUGCCCCCGUUCUAAGAGUACCACACAGUACACCUCACUCCUCCCCACACACAUGCACUCGCACUUACCAGCCAUGCCUAGCUGUAGCGGUUAUCUCCUGGGUAUGCCACCUUACUUGUGCCUGGGCAGGGAGGGACUCUGGGGCCUUUUCAGAGUGACUUGGUCUGGAUGCCAGGGGGAGAAUGGAGCAGAGGCCAAGAUCCCAGGCAGGCACCAUCCUAUAGUCCGAUGGUCUGACCUGUAAGAUCGCAAGGGCCUUCCCUGAGGCCAGGAUGGGGAGGCCCUCAUGGUGAGGCCAUCCUAGAGCCAAGGGGAAAACACCUCAGGGGCAAAGAUGGGGGUGAUCAAAGCGUGCCAGAGGAAGGGGAGGAAUGUACACAGCCAGAUGGAGGCUGAGCAGAGACCUUGGUGGAAAAAGAGAUGGGAAGAGGGAAAGGGGCACACGUGGGGCCAGGCCCCCCGAGGCAGCCACUGCAGACAUUCUGCACGUCUGUGGCCAUGGUGGGUUUGUAGACAGCUGGCUCAGUUCCCAGAGGUCUCGGGCUGAGGCCAGGCCAGAGUGGCCCACAUGCCUCACCAGCCAGUCACCUCAGGGCUGCCCUCUAUCUUCCUCCCAACCCACUUCCUCAUCUGACUCAGUGGAUCCCUGCACCAGCCUGGGGGGUGGCAAGGGAGGGAUUGUGUACCCUUUGGUUGGAUAAGGCCCAGAGCAGGACAAAUCGCAUGGCCAGGCACCAGCGUCAGGAGCCAGAGAAAGGGGAGGCUGGGAGAGAGUGGCCUCCCCCACAGGCUGGGAGGAGCCUGGCAGAGAGGACCCUCCUGGACCCACUUCCCAGCCAAGGCUUGGUGGGGGGCUGUGGCCAGUGUGACUCAGGUAGGGCUGCUGGUCCCUUUGAGACUGGCCUUGACUGCAGCAGUCAAGCCAAAGGAGGGGCUGAAGGUUGGGUGAGAAGAGGGUAUGGGCUGUCUCCGUCUUACUUAUCUGGCCUACAGCCCAUCUGCUGGGGGAGCCCCAGGCAGGGCCUGAGCUCUGUGAGAAGCUAUGGCAGGAAGGGGCUGUUUGAAGAGCUCAAUCUGGUGGGCUCAAAUGGGGCUGCUCAGAGCUGAGGCCCAUCAGCUAGAGCAGAAGGGCACUUGAGGCAGAGAGAAUAGCACUCCAAGGGCCUGGAGGCAGGGGGCAGUUUAACAUCUGUAGGGAACUAGGGUCAUUUGAUGUAGUGGAGUCGAGAUUCUUGUCAGGUGUGAGUGCCUGGCCUGAUGGAGAGCGGGAGAAUUGCUCUCUGGGCCUUGGCGAGAGCCAUGCUAUGGGGCUUUCACCUCAUGCUUGGUCACGGCAGGCGUGACCAAGGCUGGAGGGGGAAUCUUAGGCCAGAAUGGCAUGUCCCAGUGGGGAACCAGGAGUUUGUGAAGGCCAGGUCCUGCAGACACUUGGGGCUGAGUGCUGGAAGGUCAGCAGCCAUGCCCCUGCCUCUAGGAGACAACUCACAGGCUUUCUGACAAGUUCCCUAAGCAUCUAGCCCCAAGUUUCUCUCCCAUGUCAGGGAGGAGGAACAGACUCAAACAAGCAGUCCCCAGGCUUGGUUGGGGAACCCAGACUCACCCCUACUGAACCUGGAAAGACCAGCACAGGCCAAGGGUGAGGGGGUGGGGGCAGUGCAGGGCUCAGCCUUCCUGGGGGGCAUGGAGCUGUGCAGAUGCUGUAGCUGAGAUGGGGAAAGGAGAGAGCACAAUGGCCAGUGCCAGAAAACAGAAGGUGACGAUACAGCAUGGGGUGGAUGGGGUGGCAGGGAAAUUCACGCUCCCCCCCAGGUGCUGACCCAUGGCCCUGCAGGGCGGACAGCAGCAUAGAUCUCUGGGUGUGGGGCUGUGGGGAGGAAGUGUUGCUCCUGUUCUGCUGAGCUCAGCAUUAAUAGGCUACAGCUGCUGGGGGGUUGGGGCCUAAUUCAAACCAGCAGGUUGCCUGGUUCCCUCCUGAAGCACAAACGUCAUGGCCUUGGCAUUCGAGGCCUCCUUGUCCGGGAUCCUCUCCCACUCUGUUGGUUCAAGGGACCCCCGGGCUCUCAUUUGUGAUUGAGCCCAGCCCUCCACAUGAACCCCUGGGGGGGCCAGCGGCCCUUAACUACGUUGAUAUGUGCUGGUUCGAAGCAUUUAAUCCUCACCAGUUCUUGGAGGGAGGCCUCAGUAUCCCGGCUCUUCAGAUGAGAAUUAUAAAGGCCAAGAAAUGUAUCCCAAGUUACCCAACUUUAGGAAGUGGCAGAGCAGAACUUGAACCCAGGCAUUCUGUUUCUGGCCCCAAGCCCUUAAGGACACAACUAAUUGCUCACAGAGGUUAUUUCUUCAAAUUGGGGCAGAGGCAUGAAGGCCAGUGGGAUUCUCUCUCUGGGAAUCUGGCGUAGUGGCACAUGAGUUGCAGGAGGCCCUGCGUGAUCCGGGGCCGAAGUGCCAGCCCAACCUCCUGUCCCCUGUGGGUUGCCUGGGAGGCUGACUCGGCGCUGGUCUGGUCUGAGAAGGGAUGGGCACCCCUGGUUCUCCUGUUUGGUUGCACCAGUCGUAUGCACCCUCUUUCGGGGCUUAUGAACUGAGAUGAGCAGUCCAAGGACCAUUAGCCUCGGAGAACAGAUGAGCAGAGGCCCAGGGUCAGGCCUCCAGAUGCAGGAUGCGAGUGUCUGUCCUAAGGCCUUGGGUCACUCCUUUUUUACCCCGAUGUCCUCAGGACUCGAGACUGGUUGAAGAGACGCAAUGCUCCCCAGGCCACCCUGGGUCCUGCUGGCUAUGAAACUUGGCUCAGUCUGGAGCGGGAGCUUGAUGGGCUGUCCAUGGUGCAUGGUGGGUCUGGGGCAGAAGAGCUUAGCCCCCACCUUGGCACAGCGCCCCGCCUCCCCCCCCCCACGCUUUCUGAUUCACAGGGAGAAGAGGCAGGGGCAGGGGCACACUGCCUCUUCCUACUGAAGCUUUUGAAGAAAACAGACGGUUAGACCGUGACAGCCUUCUGUCUCCUUGCCUCGCCCUCAGCAGGCAGACGAGCUGCCCAGUGUGUCCUGAGGUGAGCAGGUACUGUCCUUCAGGGCACCCAGCUCCUCUCCCUGCCACCUUUACAGCAUCCGAGUGCUCUCCCUGCCGAGCAGAGUCCUGCGGCGCUUUUCCCAGCCCCUUCCAUCUCGAGUCCCUCCUGGGACUUCAGGCUCUCCCCUAUGGGCACCAGCGGGGUUGUGCCCUCUUCUGAAAACCUGCCACUUGAGCUCAGGCUCUUCCAUCGUGAGAGGCCUGGCAUCCCCGUCUUUCACCUGGUCCCUCAGACUAACAUUCAGGGUCUGUCACUCUAAACCGAGGGAGUCUCUUGUGCCUUCCAGUGAUGUCCUGCCAGUGCUGUCAGUCGCUUGAGGGGCAUUUUCCGUGACUUCUUACCUCCUAGUCAAUGCCCUGCUAAUUCAGAACAAUUCAAGACCAAAGCCCUUGGCAGUUUCCCCCCAGUACUGCCAGCUGAUGGAACUUAUCUGUCAGAGGUGAAUCAAGAUUCUGGAGCUCACAAAAACACAAGACCUGGAAGGAAGCUUGCUUGGGGAUUUCCCCACAGCAAACAGACCUGAGUUUCCCUUCACUUUUAAAGCAAUGCAUUGAUUGGACUGCUUCUAGGAACUGCCUGACUUUGGUGGUGGUGGUGGUGCGGGGGGGCAUUCUACUGAUUGCUAAGUUUUGAAAACUAAAUCUCUGCAAGUCUUACUGUAGGAGGUUAUGUUGUAUUCACCGAGCAAAUACAAAUUCCUUUGAGUUCUGAGGAGAAAAAAGUUAAUUGUACUUGCCAGGCAAAUUCUCCUGUGGAUGCUAAAAAUAUCACCAUGACGGUUUCCUUCAGGAGUGAGUGCCCUGUGCCUGCCUGGUGAACCACUGUUAGGAGGGACGUGUGGGGGCUAUACGUGGGUUGGCAGGUGAAUGGGCUGUCCCUGGGCAGCAAUGCAUGGACAGAAUGGGACACAGUCCCUCAACCAGGACAUCAGUAUACAGGUCACAGCUCAUGACUAUAGCCAUGCCUGGGGGAGAGCUGGAGUGGGCAGGGGCCAAGCACUAUCAGUGCUUCUGUGGGUGGGUGACCAUCUCUGCCUGAAGCUUUCUCGAGCGCCAGUCACCUCGGGCCCCACCACUAACCCUCGGCUAGGCGAUGACAACGAGCCCCAGGGAGAGGAGUUCCUUCACUGGCCGGGUUAGCAGAGACCUCUUCCAUGUGGUUCCUCUUCCAUGUCAGAAAGAUGAUUUGAAGAGUAAAGAAAGCUGACAUAUACACAGACUCAGGCUUAGACUAAGUAUAUAUUUUAAUCUCUACAAGGUCCCCUUUUCAAGUUGUAGGGGAAUUUAAGUGUAUACAAAUUAGACAUUGCCGAUAUGUACAAAAGUAUUUUCUAGUUUUUAAACACCAGCUAUGUCAUGUUUCAUUUGCAGUAAACAGGACGUUACAAAACCAGUCCGAUAAUACAUUUUCUAUUAAGAAGCACAAUACACAACAUAAUUCAAUUUUAUUAAAAAA